AUUGAACGCUGGCGGCAGGCUUAACACAUGCAAGUCGAGCGGAGAUGAGGUGCUUGCACCUUAUCUUAGCGGCGGACGGGUGAGUAAUGCUUAGGAAUCUGCCUAUUAGUGGGGGACAACAUUCCGAAAGGAAUGCUAAUACCGCAUACGUCCUACGGGAGAAAGCAGGGGAUCUUCGGACCUUGCGCUAAUAGAUGAGCCUAAGUCGGAUUAGCUAGUUGGUGGGGUAAAGGCCUACCAAGGCGACGAUCUGUAGCGGGUCUGAGAGGAUGAUCCGCCACACUGGGACGGAGACACGGCCCAGACUCCUACGGGAGGCAGCAGGGGGGAAUAUUGGACAAUGGGGGAAACCCUGAUCCAGCCAUGCCGCGUGUGUGAGGAAGGCCUUAUAGUUGUAAAGCACUUUAAGCGAGGAGGAGGCUACUGAGACUAUACUCUUGGAUAGUGGACGUUACUCGCAGAAUAAGCACCGGCUAACUCUGUGCCUGCAGCCGCCGCGG
rnacentral:rRNA from 1 species